GACGAACGCUGGCGGCGUGCUUAACACAUGCAAGUCGAACGAAGAGCGAUGGAAGCUUGCUUCUAUCAAUCUUAGUGGCGAACGGGUGAGUAACGCGUAAUCAACCUGCCCUUCAGAGGGGGACAACAGUUGGAAACGACUGCUAAUACCGCAUACGAUCUAAUCUCGGCAUCGAGGGUAGAUGAAAGGUGGCCUCUACAUGUAAGCUAUCACUGAAGGAGGGGAUUGCGUCUGAUUAGCUAGUUGGAGGGGUAACGGCCCACCAAGGCGAUGAUCAGUAGCCGGUCUGAGAGGAUGAACGGCCACAUUGGGACUGAGACACGGCCCAGACUCCUACGGGAGGCAGCAGUGGGGAAUCUUCCGCAAUGGACGAAAGUCUGACGGAGCAACGCCGCGUGAGUGAUGACGGCCUUCGGGUUGUAAAGCUCUGUUAAUCGGGACGAAAGGCCUUCUUGCGAAUAGGGAGAAGGAUUGACGGUACCGGAAGAGAAAGCCACGGCUAACUACGUG
rnacentral:rRNA from 1 species